GACGUAGGUGGCGAACGUUAUCCGGAAUUAUUGGGCGUAAAGGAUGCGUAGAUGGUGUAGUAAGUUAUCGGUGGCAAAUCGAGGCUCAACCUCGUGGAAGUCGGUAAUACUGCUAUGCUAGAGGAUAGGAGAGGUUAACGGAACUCCCUGUGGAGCGGUGAAAUGCGUAGAUAUAGGGAAGAACACCAAUCAGGCGAAGGCAGUUAACUAUUCUAUUCCUGACAUUGAGGCAUGAAAGCGUGGGGAGCAAAAACGG
rnacentral:rRNA from 1 species